rnacentral:piRNA from 1 species
UCUCUACAUAGUGAUGGUUGUACUGUUAUA